GAAGGUGCCUGAGGGACGGAUGAAGCUCCUCGUCGCCUGCGGUGCGGCGGGUGGCAUCGCCGCCACUUUCAAUGCUCCGCUCGCCGGCGUCUUCU
rnacentral:tRNA from 1 species